CCACUGCACCCGCUUAUUGCGUCUUGCUCCUGGGUCACAGAGCCUAAAACGACACACCCAACACGCCCGCCGGAGUUACAGCUAAAGGAAGGACAGGGGAAGCAAUGAAAUGCCGAGGGCGGAGCCAAGAGCGACACUGGGGGAGCAGGAAAAGGCGAGGCUUCCGCUUGGGGCAUGGAGGCUGUGCCUCUUACGUCACUUCCGUAAACAAACGGAGCUGCGGAGGAGCGGGUCCCGGGAUGUGACCGGGGCUCUACUUGUGGCUGCGGCGGUGGCUUCUGAGGCUGUCGGGUCUUUGCGGGUUGCGGAAGGGGGCCCCAAUACCCUUCUUCUUCAGGUCUUAAGAAGCUGGCCGUGGUGCAAUAAGGAACUUAAAACAAUGGAAGAGCGGAAAGUGAAGAGGAGGAGUCCUAAGUCUUUUAGUGCCCACUGUACUCAGGUUGUCAAUGCCAAAAAAAAUGCCAUUCCAGUGAGUAAAAGCACAGGGUUUUCAAAUCCUGCAUCACAGUCAACUUCACAGCGACCAAAGUUAAAAAGAGCGAUGAAAGAAAAGACCAAACCUCAGGGCGGAGAGGGCAAAGGCGCUCAGUCAACUCCUAUCCAGCACUCCUUCCUCACUGAUGUCUCAGAUGUUCAGGAGAUGGAGAGAGGGCUGCUCAGUCUUUUGAAUGAUUUCCACUCUGGAAAACUUCAAGCAUUUGGUUAGGCAUUUUCCAGGAUAUGCUUAGGACUGUGUCUUUUCUCAUCAAUCUGCCUGGGAAUCAGUGAGCCCUUCAUAUCUGCUGACUCAUCUUUCAUCUCACGUAACAUAUUUUCUAUUGUUUAUUAUUUUUCUUCCAUCUCUUCCUUUUUAGCCUCUGAAGCUUCUAUUGUUCUCAUGGUAGGUCACCUAGAUCUGUCCUCUGACUCUCGUCUUUUCCCAUAUGAUUUCUACCUCUUUAUAUUUUUACUGUACAUUUACAUACAUACACACAAACAUACAUACAUACACACAAACACAUAUCUUGAGAUAUUUCUAUUUCUUCCACUUGACCUUCCAGGUUACUAAUGUUGAAAAACAUGACUAAAAUAGAGGAAAUAUGACAUAUUUUACUGUGAAGAAAGGACAAUUUUGAGAGAGCCAUAACUAGCUUCAACAUUAGUAGUCCUUAACAUAAUGUCAUAUAGUCCAUUUAUGAAGAUGUUAUAAAGCUGGCUAGAGGAAACUAGCAUAAUUUACAUUAAUUCAUAUUUAUUCAGGAUAUGUACUUCAACUUUAGCUGAGGUAUAUUUUACCUGUAUAGUACCUUUAGGAAAAACAGAAAGGUUUUUUUUUUGAAAAAAUUCUACUAUCAAGGGAUUGCAGAGUCUGUACUUAAACUGAAUGAAAAGAUAAUACGUUAUGUGUAUAAAUUACUUGCUCUGGGCAGAUAAUGUCACUUCAGAGGACUCUUGGUCAAUACGUAAUGUAAGACCUGUUCUUUAGCAAUUAAGUUGUCUUGACAACUGUGUGUACAAUUAAAAAUAUUACAUAGUGUUGCUCAUGCUUCAUGCCAUUUUUCAUGCUUCAUAAAUAUUUUUAUUUAUAUUUCUUAAAGGAAGAAUACAUGAUUGGUUGAAAAAAUGAUUCACAUUUGAAGUCGUUAUUGAACUUUUUUUUUUUUUUUUUUUUUGAGAUAGAGUCUCUGUCACCCAGGCUGGAGUGCAGUGGUAUGAUCACAGCUCACUGCAGCCUCGGCCUCCUUGAGCUCAAGCCAUCCUCCCACCUCAGCCUCCCAAGUAGCUGGUGCUGCAGGCACACACCACCACACCCAGCUAAUUUUUUUUUUUUUUUUUUUUUUUUGAGACGGAGUGUCGCUCUUUCGCCCAGGCUGGAGUGCAGUGGCGCGAUCUCUGCUCACUGAAAGCUCCGCCUCCCAGAUUCACGCCAUUCUCCUGCCUCAGCCUCCCGAGUAGCUGGGACUACAGGCGCCCACCACCACGCCCGGCUAAUUUUUUGUAUUUUUUAGUGGAGACGGGGUUUCACCAUGUUAGCCAGGAUGGUCUCGAUCUCCUGACCUCGUGAUCCACCCGCCUUGGCCUCCCAAAGUGCUGGGAUUACAGGCGUGAGCCACCGUGCCUGGCCUUGUAUUUUUUAUAGAGAUGAGGUUUCACCAUGUUUCACAGAUUGGUCUUGAACUCCUGGACUCAAGCAGUUCUCACACCUUGGCCUCUCAAAGUGUGUUAAGAUUACAGGCGUGAGCCACCAUGCCCAGCCAGAACUCUUUUUUUUCUUUUUUUUUUUUUUUUUGAGACAGGGUCUCGCUCUGUUACUCAGGGUGGAGUGCAGUGGUGUGAUCAUGGUUCACUGCAGCCUCAACCUCCCCAGGCUUAUAUGAUUCUCCCACCUCAACCUCCCAAGUAGCUGGGAUUACAGGCACAUGCCACCACGCCUGGCUAAUUGGCUGAUUUUUUGUAUUUUUAGUAGAGACAAGGUUUCGCCAUGUUGCCCAGGCUGAUGUAGAACUCCUGGGUUCAAGGGAUCCGUCAGCCUUGGCCUCCCCAAGUGCUAGGAUUACAGGCAUGAGCCACUUGGGCCUAGAACUCUGAAUUUCACUCAAAUUAUUACAAAAUGUUGGGUCACUCAGUUAAAAUGGUAGUUGUCAAACUGGACAUGAUGAGAUGGUGCUGUUUUGCUUCUACAUAUUAUAUUACUGUUGAAGAAAAUAUAUUUUCUCUACUUAAGGGAUGAUUUUCUUUUUUCUUUUUCUUUUUUUUUUUUUUUUUUGAGACAGAGUCUCGCUCUAUUGCCAGGGUGGAGUGCAGUGGCACGAUCUUGGCUCACUGCAACUUCUGUCUCCCGGGUUCAAGCGAUUCUCCUGUCUCAGCCUCCCGAAUAGCUGGGACUACAGGCACGCACCACCAUGCCCAGCUAAUUUUUGUAUUUUUAGUAGAGACUAGGUUUCACCAUGUUGGCCAGGAUGGUGUUGAUCUCCUGACCUCAUGAUCCACCAGCUUCAGCCUCCCAAAGUACUGGGAUUACAGGCGUGAGCCACCACGCCUGGCCUGAAAUAUUUCCCAUAUGAUUUUCUUUAGUACCCAAGGUCAUUUCUUAAGUGGGUCAUUGUUUUCCUGGUCAGAAAUUUGAUUUGUUAUUAAACACAUAAAAUAUUAAUGAUUAUCUAAUUUACAGAAGAAAGAAAACCUGUUUCUUUUAGAGCACCUAGAGUUUAAGUGUUUUUACUCAAUGCUGUUAGUUUGAACUGUCCUAAUCAUUAUUAAUGUUCUGGAAUGUUCCCAAGGAAAUGAAUGUUCCAUUGAACAGAUGGAACAUGUUCGGGGAAUGCAGGAGAAAUUAGCUCGCUUGAAUUUGGAGCUCUAUGGGGAGUUAGAGGAACUUCCUGAGGAUAAGAGAAAAACAGCCAGUGACUCCAAUCUGGAUAGGCUUCUGUCAGAUUUAGAAGAAUUGAAUUCUUCCAUACAAAAACUCCAUUUGGCAGAUGCACAAGAUGUUCCAAAUACUUCUGCUAGCUAAAAUGAAAUGUAGUUUGCUUUCUUUUGAUUUGAAGAGAAGCAGCAGUCUUUACUUUUCCAGCCAAAUCCAGUAGCAGAAUCAUCUUCCACAACAAGAAAUUAAAGUAAUUAAAGUGCAAGUGCAAUGAUCGUUUUCACUUACUGCUUUUAGUAAAUGUGACUCGCUGUAAUUUGCCAUAACUGGAGGCCUAGGCCUUGUUGAAGGCUUCAUCAGGAAAUGUGAUGCAGAGAUUGUGCUGCUGUGCUUCAUAUUGUUGCCUUAUGGGAUUAUACUUGAAAUGCAUUGUGCUAAUGUUCUUGACAGGGCUGAGGGAUUUCUCUUUCCUGAGCUCACCAAACUUGUUCCAGUGUUGAUCGCAAGCUGUUGAUGCACAGGCGUCUUGUGGCAAGCCCAGCUUCAGUUUACGUUAGACAAUCAGUACACACGCUGGUGUGUUUUCCAAUGGCCAGUGAUAAGAAAUUAAAUAAGUAUUUGUGAGAUUUGCUAUUUUUUAAUAAAGUAAUUGUUUUAAAUUAA